CAGAGUGGCAGACGGGUGAGUAACGCGUGGGAACCUUCCCAAUGGUGCGGAAUAGCCCAGGGAAACUUGGGGUAAUACCGCAUAAGCCCUUAGGGGGAAAGAUUUAUCGCCAUUGGAUGGGCCCGCGUCGGAUUAGCUAGUUGGUGAGGUAAUGGCUCACCAAGGCAACGAUCCGUAGCUGGUUUGAGAGAAUGACCAGCCACACUGGGACUGAGACACGGCCCAGACUCCUACGGGAGGCAGCAGUGGGGAAUCUUGGACAAUGGGCGCAAGCCUGAUCCAGCCAUGCCGCGUGAGUGACGAAGGCCUUAGGGUUGUAAAGCUCUUUUGCCGGGGACGAUAAUGACGGUACCCGGAGAAUAAGUCCCGGCUAACUUCGUGCCAGCAGCCGCGGUAAUACGAAGGGGACUAGCGUUGUUCGGAAUUACUGGGCGUAAAGCGCACGUAGGCGGAUUUGUAAGUCAGGGGUGAAAUCCCGGGGCUCAACCUCGGAACUGCCUUUGAUACUGCAAAUCUCGAGUCCGAUAGAGGUGGGUGGAAUU
rnacentral:rRNA from 1 species